rnacentral:rRNA from 1 species
UAGCUAUUGCAUCAAUGUUUAAAUAAUUGAUGCAAUAUCGACUAUGUCGAAUAAAAUUCUAGGUAGAAUUAUGAUAAUGACAUUGUCUGCCUAUGUGUCUUGACCAAAUUACGUGCCAGCAGUCGCGGUAAUACGUAGAAGACUAGUGUUAUUCAUCUUUAAUAGGUUUAAAGGGUACCUAGACGGUAUAUCAAGCCUGCAAUAUGGGACUAAUGUACUAGAGUUACUUACGAGGGGGUAUUAAAGUACUGCUGGUGUAGAGAUGAAAUUCUGUCAUACCUUAUUUUGUAAAAAAUACUAUGGCACAGGUAUAGGCGAAAGCAUCUCCUUAUGUGAUAACUGACGUUGAAGGACGAAGGCUUUGUGUAGCGAACAGGAUUAGAUACCCCAAUAGUCAAAGCAGAAAAUGAUGAAUGUCAUAGAUUAGACAUAUAAUAGUUUAUUCUAUAAAUGAAAGUGUAAGCAUUCCACCUCAAGAGUAAUUUGGCAACAUUGGAACUGAAAUCAUUAGACCGUUUCUGAAACCAGUAGUGAAGUAUGUUGUUUAAUUUGAUAAUCCGCAAAAAACCUUACCACAAUUUGAAUAUUUAGAUUAUUAUUCCCUUUUUUAAUAAGAAGGGAGGAAAAAUCUAUUUACAAGCGUUGCACGGCUGUCUUCAGUUAAUGUCGUGAGAUUCUGGUUAGUUCCAUUAAUUAACGUAAACCCUUACUUUAUUU